rnacentral:sRNA from 1 species
CUGUACCCCAGCUCAGGAAGCAGGGCAGGGGGACAAGCAGAUUCCACGAGACAGCAAGUCUAGCUGAAACCGAGCUCCAGGUUCAGUGAGAGAUCCCACUGAAAAAAUAAGUUGGAGAAGAAUAGUGAUCAUGGGUCUCUGGCCUCUAUAUGGACACAAAUGGGGCAUGCAUGCAAAUAAAUUCACAGGCACACGCACAUGCACACACUCACACACGAGCACGUUCACUCGCUACACCUCAAACAAACAGCAUACAGCUGAGCCACAGUGUGUAUGGACCUUGUACUCUGACCGAGUCGUGGAGUCGGAACGGAACUAAAAAAAAAAAAAAAGUGACAGUGUAACUGAGAAAGUUCCCGUCCCGCCGUGUCUGGUGGCAUAGGCAUCCGUGAGGCCGUGAGACCGUGUUUGAAGAUAAAGACAGGCUGGGAUGCCCUUCAGUGAGGGAGGUUCAGCCUCACCACCACAAUAAAGAGGGGGGGGAGGGAAGGAAGGAGGGGAGGGCCUAGUUCUGGGGCUGUGAGAGGGCCAAUACUCUGAGACAAAGUGGUGGAGAAGGAAGCUGAUCUCGAGGCUGGCGUGGUCGGAGGGAGAGCAGCUCACACCUGUGACUCUUUUGCUUCGCUGAGAGUACGGCACAUCUUGAGAACUGUUAUCAUCCCAAUUCUUUAAAGGAGCUAUUUUCAUUUCUUUAAAUUAUGUGGAUGGCUGUAGGUUCAUGUGCGGGUUUUUGCAGGCAGUGCAAGCACCCACAGAGGCCAGGGGUGCUGGAUCCCCUGGGGCUGGAGCCAUAAGCAGCCAUCCAUCCGAUGUGGGUGCUGGGAAUCUAACUUGAGUUUUCUGCAAGAACAAUAGAUGCUCUGAUUGCUGGGCUCUCUCUCCCGCUGGUCAUAGCAUGUUUCGUUACCUCAGCUUCAGGCAGCUGGGUACCAGGGUAGUUCAUUAGCCUUGAAAACUAACCAAUUCUGAUAUACGGGCUGUGAGCCUUUGAUAUCUGUCUGGAGGUGACUGAGUCAUGUUGCCCCUGUGAGUCUUAGCGAUUGUUCUAAGCUUGGCUUCUGAAGGUGUGAGGUCUGGUGUGCAGCUAACCUUUUCUUUGUGAUUUUUUUCUACAGCCUGAGAAGGAGCACCACACAGGAAAGGGUUGGUGCAUUUCAACUAGUUCUACAUCUUGUUGUUAAGACACGGGGCAAGAUGCCCAGCAAAACAAGAUUUUGCCUGUAAAUUGAAAAGAAGAAUGUCGGGAGGAAAUUCCAGGAGCUUAAGCGGCAGUGCACACGUGUGUGUUGUGGAGUAGACGGAAUCAGUAUUCUGUAAUACAGAAGGGAGCAGUGUGGGAUUAUUUGAAGUGGACAGCAAAAGAAAUCCAGGCCAUCAACACCUUUGGUGAAAAGAAAUACUAGGACUUCGGUCUUGGGCCCAGGCCCACUGCUGACAGCAUGAUGGAAGGAUGCACUUGCGGUCUAGACUCCCCCUCCCGCCUCCUGGAGUGGGGGUGAGGCGGCGUGGGCAACGGUUGGGAAGCUGUCUGGAGGCCUCUUGCAGAGACAUCAGAAUGCUUUGUUAGAACAAGCGCUGGGGAUCCAUCCUGUGGCUCACCCUAUCAAGCUGAAACCGGAUGUUGCUGCCAAGUUCUUUGGAAGGCUAAACAUUGUUGCCCUUGAACAUCUGCGUCUGCAAAAAGUUCUAGAUGUCAACCUUGUGACUAUACUAAUAAAAUCCUUGAAAGGUGAACAGAGGACAAACUGUACCAAGCCUCUGGUCCAAUGGCAUCCUGGAGUGGAGGGGGCUGCUCUGUGCGUCCUGGAGGUCUCACCCUAACAUGCGUCAGGGCAGAGGAAGUCUUGAGAACCUUGUGGACUUAUCUGUGGCAUCUUGAGGUAAGCAGUUCUGACCGUGGGGACAGAGUGGCAGUUUUCCCAGCUUGCUCAGAAAUGCAAGCACACACAGGUUCUUGGAUAAAUGGCUGAAGUGAGGUGUUCUUCUGAGAAUCGGGGGCUGCUCUUUGUUUCUCAAAUGAACACGCACAGACAGGUGGGCAGGGAGAGCAGCUUCAAAACACAGCAUGGACCUGGGUUUCAGUCCUGUCUCAGGAGAAGUAUUGUUUCUUUUCGCUACAGACUAGGAACUAAAUGAAGGUUUUAUACGCAGGGUCAUACAGGACGCCGGACACCGGACACUUAUAAAAACUUACAAGUGUUAGCAAAUGUUCUGGGUCAUUCAGAGACUCACCAGUAUAUUAAUAAAUUUUAACAGAGAAGAGGCUUUUCAUUCAAACACCGGUACCGUUCUACACUGGAGAACAGAGACUCAGGAUUCCAGAAUGCAGCCCCCAGCCACUUCAGUGAGGGGUUUGUAAAGGCAAAGAAUACAAAGUUACAGUUUGCUCUGGUUCAGCAAAAACAGUCCUCUUUACAGAACCAGAAACAGCCAUAAAAAAUGUAACCUUAACAGCUCUUAAUGUUUGGAGGUCUAGAUGGGCUUUAUGGUUCUGUUAAGCACAGAGAUGUUAAGUUUUUAAACAUAAAGUUAGCCAUUGAUGUGACUUUAGCCACCGUUGAGUUAUACCCUGAGUCAAAUCCUUGACUCUGCAUUGGGUACCUUUUCAUAUUGGGACUUAUUUACUAUCAUCUUAAUAGCUCAUAAGCAGGAUUUAUAGAUCUGGUCUUAACCUUGGCCUUAGUUAGUGUUAAUGAUGCAGGGUCAACUAUAAUCAGCAGGCACCCAAGGAAGAACAUGGGAGCCAUUUAUUUCCUCUCUGUGAGGUGUUUUCAAAGUUCAGCCAAAUUAUCCUUGAUACUCCUGAGUGGUUUGCCUAGAAGCAGAUGGCUACAGUAACCUCCUUGCCCUGUGUAAAGCAGAUCAAGUCCCUACCAUGUUGGAAGACUACCUCAGCCAAGAGUCAAGGUGUUCUUUUAAUUUUGCAAUGGACUUUUCUCAGGCAAAAAACAUCUGGGUUAUUUGAGGCCCUAAGUUUUUGUAGUUGACAUUAGUUGUGCUGUGCCUGUUGUCCUGAGCGUGGCUCAAGCCAUUCCCAAUCCUAAAUUUACUAUGGGGGAUGUAAGGGCCGGUGCCUGUGCAUACAUGUGUUUUCUCCCUACUGGACCAUUAUAAAGGCACAUGCAGGGAACAGGGUUAUCAAGACACAGAUUUUCAGGGAUUAGUGCACCUGCCAAAUAGGUAAGCAAGGUGCCAAGGGUUAGCACAUGUGAAACAAUGUUUCAACUGGGAGGUGAAGGAAGGAACAUUCACCUGAAGAAGUGAUGGCUGGGAACUGUGAGACAUCUGUGACAAGUUUGUAUCUGCUCUUAAGGGGGAUAUAGAAAUACAUCCCACAAAAGAGCAGGAGUUAAAUAUAGUCACAUAAAACAGUAGUAGUCUAUAAUUGUGUCCAGUUUAUCUUUGGUGGAUCCUCUCGGGCAUUGUGACAGUUCAUUUUUCUGCAGCCAGGUCAUUGUGGCCUGUGUUGUGCUUGACCUGCCAAUAAUAUACCCAGCUGUAGAUAGAUGCCAUCUUCCUUAGCAGCCAUGGGGGUGGUCAGGAUGACAAAGCAUGAUCCCUUCCAACAAGGUCCCAGAUCCUUCAGACCUAACAUGCCAGCUUUUUGUUAAGGGGGGAUGUGCUUACUUCUGUAACUGCUUCUCACUGAGAUUAAGACACCCUCGUAAGAACCCAUGAAGGCUGGAAAGCCAAAGGCCCAGGGGUGGGGCUCAGAUUGGGGGGCUGGAGGCAUUCACCAUAAGCAUCUGUUUUGCUGAUCCAGCUGAAGAGACAAGGAGCAAUUGUAUUGGCUGGUCUGAUUAUAGGGUUGCACAUCUGUGAUCUUAGCAUUCUGGAGGCAGAGGCAGGAGGAUCUCCAUUUGGAGGACAUCCUGGGCUAUAUAGACUCUCAUGCAUCUAUAAAGAAACUUUUGUUGUUCCUGUCUUGGGGCUGAAUUAAAGCCACUGAGUACAAACCCCGCUGUUGUACUGUGGCUGCACCUGAGGAAGUCCUCUUGAAUCUUAACGUUAACAUAUUAAAUACCCAAACCUUAUAUUAUGACCAAGUGAUAAGAGGGAGGAGAGGGGUUGGGGAUUUAGCUCAGUGGUAGAGCACUUGCCUAGCAAACGCAAGGCCCUGGGUUC